UACGUAGGGGGGCAAGCGUUUGUCCGGAAUCAUUGGGCGUAAAGCGCGUGUAGGCGGCCCGAUAAGUCCGCUGUGAAAGUCCAGGGCUCAACCCUGGGAUGCCGGUGGAUACUGUCGGGCUCGAGUCCGGAAGAGGCGAGUGGAAUUCCUGGUGUAGCGGUGAAAUGCGCAGAUAUCAGGAGGAACACCAAUGGCGAAGGCAGCUCGCUGGGACGUGACUGACGCUGAGACGCGAAAGCGUGGGGAGCAAACAGG
rnacentral:rRNA from 1 species